AUACUCUCUUCAAACCAAAGUAUAGCCUUUAAUCAAUUGAGCUCAUUAUGGAUUCCCCUUAUAUAAAGCAAAAUCUAAAGACUUGGGUCAGCUUGAGGGCAUGCUUAUGCAGUGUGCUGGAGCUGUUCUGAAAUGCUUACAACAGGGUUGCAAAAUGAGAUUAAAAAGAAGGUAUAAGUGCAAAGAAAUCAGAUAAAUUUAGGUUUUUUCUUCCAAGGAGUUAAUGUGCUUUCAAGAGAUAAUCCUGAAAUCACCUCGAGUAAAUUCCAUCACCUUCCAGGAACCCUCUGUCACUCACCAGUUGUAGAAGUUUACAGCAAGGAAACCCACAUUUCCUGACCAGAGUUCCCUUAUUAUGAAGGAAAGGUAGCACCUUGGUGUCAGUCAACCUACUGGAGAAGCCAGGUCUGAAGUUUGGACGUCAUAAUCACAGCAGGAGGAUUCCUGUUCACCCCAUUCUCAUUGCAGCUUGUUCUGCCCCCAGAGGCUUCUUCAGACACAGUGUGCAGAUGACUGUGUCUCCUUGAGAACAGAAACUGCCUGUCUUGUUCACCUCCUCCUCCCUGCGCCUAGAACAAUGAUGAGUUUAUGGCAGAUGGACGAUGGAUCAGUGUUAGAUGGAUGCCCACCAUCCAAGGGAAUGAAUGGUUUACCUUCAAAUGACACGUCUGCCUGAGAGCUUGCUAAGCACAUAGAUUUACUGCCUGCUGCCCUCAGCACUAGUUCUGCCCAUUAUGAAUGUGUGGUCACCAAUCUUCAAAAUGUGACACAAAGGCCCCAUCUAUUGCCAGGAGUGGACACCAUUGAUGCUUUCCCCAGAACUCAUCCCAACACCAGUGUGGAUAAACCUGUACCUCUUGGAAUGUGGAGAC
ensembl:lncRNA